rnacentral:tRNA from 1 species
ACGCGUAGCUCAGUUGGUUAGAGCGUUCGCCUCACACGCGAGAGGUCAAGAGUUCGAGUCUCUUCGUGUCC